AUUGAACGCUGGCGGAAUGCUUUACACAUGCAAGUCGAACGGCAGCACGGGGGCAACCCUGGUGGCGAGUGGCGAACGGGUGAGUAAUACAUCGGAACGUGCCCAGUCGUGGGGGAUAACGUAGCGAAAGCUACGCUAAUACCGCAUACGAACUCUGGUUGAAAGCGGGGGAUCGCAAGACCUCGCGCGAUUGGAGCGGCCGAUGGCAGAUUAGGUAGUUGGUGGGGUAAAGGCCUACCAAGCCGACGAUCUGUAGCUGGUCUGAGAGGACGACCAGCCACACUGGGACUGAGACACGGCCCAGACUCCUACGGGAGGCAGCAGUGGGGAAUUUUGGACAAUGGGCGCAAGCCUGAUCCAGCCAUUCCGCGUGCAGGAUGAAGGCCCUCGGGUUGUAAACUGCUUUUGUACGGAACGAAACGCGCUGUGCUAAUACCACGGCGUAAUGACGGUACCGUAAGAAUAAGCACCGGCUAACUACGUGCCAGCAGCCGCGGUAAUACGUAGGGUGCAAGCGUUAAUCGGAAUUACUGGGCGUAAAGCGUGCGCAGGCGGUGAUGUAAGACAGGUGUGAAAUCCCCGGGCUUAACCUGGGAACUGCAUUUGUGACUGCAUCGCUGGAGUGCGGCAGAGGGGGAUGGAAUUCCGCGUGUAGCAGUGAAAUGCGUAGAUAUGCGGAGGAACACCGAUGGCGAAGGCAAUCCCCUGGGCCUGCACUGACGCUCAUGCACGAAAGCGUGGGGAGCAAACAGGAUUAGAUACCCUGGUAGUCCACGCCCUAAACGAUGUCAACUGGUUGUUGGUCCUUCACUGGAUCAGUAACGAAGCUAACGCGUGAAGUUGACCGCCUGGGGAGUACGGCCGCAAGGUUGA
rnacentral:rRNA from 1 species